rnacentral:rRNA from 1 species
CCUACGGGGGGCUGCAGUCGAGAAUCUUCGGCAAUGAGCGCAAGCUUGACCGAGCGACGCCGCGUGCGGGAUGAAGGCCUUCGGGUUGUAAACCGCUUUGGUCCGAAAGAAAGGGUAAAACUUGAUCGAUCGGAGAAACAAGGACGGGCUAAGUUCGUGCCAGCAGCCGCUGUAAGACGAACCGUCCAAACGUUAUUCGGAAUCACUGGGCUUAAAGGGCGCGUAGGCGGCGGAGCGGGUCGUGGGUGAAGCCCCCAGGUUAACUGGGGAACUGCUUACGAUACCACUGCGGCUCGAGGAAGGAAGGGGCAAGUGGAACUGUCGGUGGAGCGGUGAAAUGCGUUGAUAUCGACAGGAACGCCGGUGGCGAAAGCGAAUUGCUGGUCCUUUUCUGACGCUGAGGCGCGAAAGCCAGGGGAGCAAACGGGAUUAGAUACCCGGGUAGUC